ACCACGGAAGAAGCCCAGUUUUCUUUGUCUUUGAUAGUCCUUUGCACAUUUUCAUUGCAUUCAGCCACCACAGAACUUUUCUCUCACAUACGUACAAUUACUUGGAAAGAAUUAAAGGUAAUAUAAGGUAGAUGUCUACAUGCUUAGUCAUUACUUCCACACUAUGUGCUCUGAGGGCUUAAUAACCUACAGAGUGCCAAAAUUUCUUCUAGGGAAGCUGCAGACCACACAAGAUAUGAAAGAAGAUCUCAGCUUGACCAUAACAACUACCCAAUUCACCACAAGUCCUCAGGCAGUUCUUCAAAUGCUAAAACAUAUUUUGCAGGAAUAAAGACAUUUUAGCUUAUCUACAGCCUGGAGCACAAUCUUUCUACAUUUAUACAAGAUAUUAUGGGGUAUCACUGUCCUUUUCCUCAUUCAAUGUGGUGUGAUUUUUCACAAUAUGAAGAAGUGAGACUUUGAGCCUGGAGGAGAUGGCUCCCACAUUUAGAUCAGGGAGCAAUGCGGGUCCUAACAGUUAAUUUGUGCAUCUUAAGAAAACUGGAAUCAUGCUACAGAGGAGCANAGAAAACUCUUGCUGAUCUAAAACUGGAUUACCUGGAUCUUUAUCUCAUCCACUGGCCUUCUGGCUUCAAGGCUGGAGAUGUCCUGUUUCCCACAGAUGACAACGGCAUGGCUAUACCCAGCAACACUGACCUCCUAGAAACAUGGGAGGUAAGUUCAACCACAGAAGCAGUCCAGAUUUCUCUGCCUUUGACAGUCCCUUAUGAAUUUUCAUUGCCAUCAGCUCUCUCAGAAAUAUCUUUUCAUGCAUGUACAUUUACUUGUAAGGAAAUAAUGAAAAUACAACGUAGAUGACUGCAUGCAUAGUUAUUACUUCCACACUACUGUUCCCUGUGUAUCUAACUCACAGUGAUUGCCAAAAUCUUUUAUGGAAGCUGCAGACAACAUAGAUGAUAGAAAAAGUUCUCAGUUUGACCAUAUCAACUGCCUAGUUCACCACAAGUCCUCAGGCCAUUCCUCAACUGCUCAAACAUAUUUUGCAGGAAUAAAGACAUUUUAGGUUAUGAGCUUACCUACA
rnacentral:lncRNA from 1 species